rnacentral:rRNA from 1 species
AAGAGUUACUUGGACGUUGGCGCCUGUGACGAUGUUGGGCUUGUCGAAUGGCUUGCCCUCGGCCUUGCGCCUGUUCUGCCACCGCUUCUUGAAGGCCAGCCCCGCCAGCAUGAUGGCCUCCGACGACCCCACCGUGCCCACGCCCACGGCCGUCUCCGACUCGCCCAGCGGCGCGUGGAAGAGAUGCGCGAUCAUGUUCACGCACCGGUUGAGCUCGGUGGUGACGGGGUACUCGUCCAUGUGCACGUAGUUCUUGUUGAUGGAGGCCAUGAUGAGCUUGUCGCACUCGGGCUCCAUCCACGUCGUCACGAACGACGCCAGGUUCAGCCGCGGGUUGCCGUCGAGCAUCAGUUCGUCGUUGAUGAUCUGGUACGCCGCCUCCUUGGGGAUCGACUUCUCCGGCAUACGGUACCUGUCCACCAGCCGGUCGAUUAG